CCCUUUCCCUUUCUCCCCUUCCCUUUCCCUCUUGUCCCCCUCUUUUCCACUUCCCAUUUCCCCCCCCCUUUCCCCAGCUCUUUUCCAUAACCAGCUGAUCCCACCCGGCUCCAGCUGCUCCAUCACUCCCUUCCCAUUCUCAGGGCCCUCGUCCCCCAAACUGGGGGGGUCCUGACCUGGGGUGUGUGUGGGGUUCUGACCCUCAUCCCCCACCUCAAUCCCACCUUUCCCCCUUUCCCAGGUCUCCUUAAACGCCUGGUUCUGGUCCACGGUUUUCCACACGCGGGACACGGCGCUGACGGAGAAACUGGAUUAUUUCUGUGCUUCGGCCGCCGUCCUGCACUCGGUGUACCUGUGCUGUGUCAGGACGCUGGGGCUGCAGCGCCCAGCCUUAAUCAGCAUCUUCAGGGCCUUCCUCCUCCUCUUCCUCACCUGCCACAUCUCCUACCUGAGCCUCGUGCGCUUCGACUACGGCUACAACCUGGCGGCCAACGCGGCCCUGGGUGAGCUGGGGGGC